CCUACGGGAGGCAGCAGUGAGGAAUAUUGGUCAAUGGACGAGAGUCUGAACCAGCCAAGUAGCGUGAAGGAUGACUGCCCUAUGGGUUGUAAACUUCUUUUAUAUGGGAAUAAAAUGUUCCACGUGUGGGAUUUUGUAUGUACCAUAUGAAUAAGGAUCGGCUAACUCCGUGCCAGCAGCCGCGGUAAUACGGAGGAGCCGAGCGUUAUCCGGAGUUAUUGGGGUUAAAGGGAGCGUAGGUGGCUUGUUAAGUCCGUUGUGAAAGUUUGCGGCUCAACCGUAAAAUUGCAGUUGAAACUGGCAGUCUCGAGUACAGUAGCGGUGGGCGGAAUUCGUGUUGUAGCGGUGACAUGCUUCGAUAUCACGCAGAACUCCGAUUGCGAAGGCAGCUCACUGGACUGCACCUGACACUGAGGCUCGAAAGUGUGGGUAUCAAACAGGAUUAGAUACCCGAGUAGUC
rnacentral:rRNA from 1 species